GUCGUGGGGCAGCAUGAAGUAGCAAUACUUUGAUGGCGACCGGCAAACGGGUGCGGAACACGUACACAACCUUCCUUUUAGUGGGGAAUAGCCCAGAGAAAUUUGGAUUAAUACCCCGUAACAUAGCGAUGUGGCAUCACAUUGCUAUUAUAGCUUCGGCGCUAGAUGAUGGGUGUGCGUAUGAUUAGAUAGUUGGCGAGGUAACGGCUCACCAAGUCUACGAUCAUUAGCUGAUGUGAGAGCAUGAUCAGCCACACGGGCACUGAGACACGGGCCCGACUCCUACGGGAGGCAGCAGUAAGGAAUAUUGGUCAAUGGACGAAAGUCUGAACCAGCCAUGCCGCGUGAAGGAUUAAGGUCCUCUGGAUUGUAAACUUCUUUUAUAUGGGACGAAAAAAGGUCUUUCUAGAUCACUUGACGGUACCAUAUGAAUAAGCACCGGCUAACUCCGUGCCAGCAGCCGCGGUAAUACGGAGGGUGCAAGCGUUAUCCGGAUUCACUGGGUUUAAAGGGUGCGUAGGCGGGUAGGUAAGUCAGUGGUGAAAUCCUGGAGCUCAACUCCAGAACUGCCAUUGAUACUAUCUAUCUUGAAUAUUGUGGAGGUAAGCGGAAUAUGUCAUGUAGCGGUGAAAUGCUUAGAUAUGACAUAGAACACCCAUUGCGAAGGCAGCUUACUACGCAUAUAUUGACGCUGAGGCACGAAAGCGUGGGGAUCAAACAGGAUUAGAUACCCUGGUAGUCCACGCCCUAAACGAUGGAUACUCGACAUACGCGAUACACUGUGUGUGUCUGAGCG
rnacentral:rRNA from 1 species